GGCCUCCCUCUGUGGGGCGAUCAAUCACAGGGCCCUCAGAUUGAUUGCCCCACAGAGGGAGGUC
rfam:Myotis brandtii contig178717, whole genome shotgun sequence.